rnacentral:rRNA from 1 species
GAGUUUGAUCCUGGCUCAGGAUGAACGCUGGCGGCGUGCCUAAUACAUGCAAGUCGAGCGAACGGACGAGAAGCUUGCUUCUCUGAUGUUAGCGGCGGACGGGUGAGUAACACGUGGAUAACCUACCUAUAAGACUGGGAUAACUUCGGGAAACCGGAGCUAAUACCGGAUAAUAUUUUGAACCGCAUGGUUCAAAAGUGAAAGACGGUCUUGCUGUCACUUAUAGAUGGAUCCGCGCUGCAUUAGCUAGUUGGUAAGGUAACGGCUUACCAAGGCAACGAUGCAUAGCCGACCUGAGAGGGUGAUCGGCCACACUGGAACUGAGACACGGUCCAGACUCCUACGGGAGGCAGCAGUAGGGAAUCUUCCGCAAUGGGCGAAAGCCUGACGGAGCAACGCCGCGUGAGUGAUGAAGGUCUUCGGAUCGUAAAACUCUGUUAUUAGGGAAGAACAUAUGUGUAAGUAACUGUGCACAUCUUGACGGUACCUAAUCAGAAAGCCACGGCUAACUACGUGCCAGCAGCCGCGGUAAUACGUAGGUGGCAAGCGUUAUCCGGAAUUAUUGGGCGUAAAGCGCGCGUAGGCGGUUUUUUAAGUCUGAUGUGAAAGCCCACGGCUCAACCGUGGAGGGUCAUUGGAAACUGGAAAACUUGAGUGCAGAAGAGGAAAGUGGAAUUCCAUGUGUAGCGGUGAAAUGCGCAGAGAUAUGGAGGAACACCAGUGGCGAAGGCGACUUUCUGGUCUGUAACUGACGCUGAUGUGCGAAAGCGUGGGGAUCAAACAGGAUUAGAUACCCUGGUAGUCCACGCCGUAAACGAUGAGUGCUAAGUGUUAGGGGGUUUCCGCCCCUUAGUGCUGCAGCUAACGCAUUAAGCACUCCGCCUGGGGAGUACGACCGCAAGGUUGAAACUCAAAGGAAUUGACGGGGACCCGCACAAGCGGUGGAGCAUGUGGUUUAAUUCGAAGCAACGCGAAGAACCUUACCAAAUCUUGACAUCCUUUGACAACUCUAGAGAUAGAGCCUUCCUCUUCGGGGGACAAAGUGACAGGUGGUGCAUGGUUGUCGUCAGCUCGUGUCGUGAGAUGUUGGGUUAAGUCCCGCAACGAGCGCAACCCUUAAGCUUAGUUGCCAUCAUUAAGUUGGGCACUCUAAGUUGACUGCCGGUGACAAACCGGAGGAAGGUGGGGAUGACGUCAAAUCAUCAUGCCCCUUAUGAUUUGGGCUACACACGUGCUACAAUGGACAAUACAAAGGGCAGCGAAACCGCGAGGUCAAGCAAAUCCCAUAAAGUUGUUCUCAGUUCGGAUUGUAGUCUGCAACUCGACUACAUGAAGCUGGAAUCGCUAGUAAUCGUAGAUCAGCAUGCUACGGUGAAUACGUUCCCGGGUCUUGUACACACCGCCCGUCACACCACGAGAGUUUGUAACACCCGAAGCCGGUGGAGUAACCUUUUAGGAGCUAGCCGUCGAAGGUGGGACAAAUGAUUGGGGUGAAGUCGUAACAAGGUAGCCGUAUCGGAAGGUGCGGCUGGAUCACC